UAGGGAAUCUUCGGCAAUGGACGGAAGUCUGACCGAGCAACGCCGCGUGAGUGAAGAAGGUUUUCGGAUCGUAAAGCUCUGUUGUUAGAGAAGAACGUUGGUAGGAGUGGAAAAUCUACCAAGUGACGGUAACUAACCAGAAAGGGACGGCUAACUACGUGCCAGCAGCCGCGGUAAUACUUAGGUCCCGAGCGUUGUCCGGAUUUAUUGGGCGUAAAGCGAGCGCAGGCGGUUCUUUAAGUCUGAAGUUAAAGGCAGUGGCUUAACCAUUGAAUGCUUUUGAAACUGGAGGACUUGAGUGCAGAAGAGGAGAGUGGAAUUCCAUGUGUAGCGGUGAAAUGCGUAGAUAUAUGGAGGAACACCGGUGGCGAAAGCGGCUCUCUGGUAUGUAACUGACGCUGAGGCUCGAAAGCGUGGGGAGCAAACAGG
rnacentral:rRNA from 1 species